GGAUGAACGCUAGCGGCAGGCUUAAUACAUGCAAGUCGAACGGGAUUCGGGGUAGCAAUACUUUGAUGAGAGUGGCGCACGGGUGCGUAACGCGUAUGCAACCUACCUUUAACAGGGGAAUAGCCCCGAGAAAUCGGGAUUAAUACUCCGUAACAUUGCGGUGUGGCAUCACACUGCACUUAAAGCUGAGGCGGUUAAAGAUGGGCAUGCGUGACAUUAGCUAGUUGGUGAGGUAACGGCUCACCAAGGCAACGAUGUCUAGGGGUCCUGAGAGGGUUAUCCCCCACACUGGUACUGAGACACGGACCAGACUCCUACGGGAGGCAGCAGUAAGGAAUAUUGGUCAAUGGGCGCAAGCCUGAACCAGCCAUGCCGCGUGCAGGAAGACGGCCCUAUGGGUUGUAAACUGCUUUUGUCAGGGAAUAAACCCCCGCUCGUGAGCGGGGCUGAAGGUACCUGAAGAAUAAGCAUCGGCUAACUCCGUGCCAGCAGCCGCGGUAAUACGGAGGAUGCAAGCGUUAUCCGGAUUCAUUGGGUUUAAAGGGUGCGCAGGCGGAUUGGUAAGUCAGGGGUGAAAUCCCACAGCUCAACUGUGGAACUGCCUUUGAUACUGUCAGUCUAGAGUAUAGUUGAAGUUGGCGGAAUGUGUCAUGUAGCGGUGAAAUGCUUAGAUAUGACACAGAACACCGAUCGCGAAGGCAGCUAGCUAAGCUAUAACUGACGCUCAUGCACGAAAGCGUGGGGAUCAAACA
rnacentral:rRNA from 1 species